rnacentral:rRNA from 1 species
UGGGGAAUAUUGCACAAUGGGCGCAAGCCUGAUGCAGCCAUGCCGCGUGUAUGAAGAAGGCCUUCGGGUUGUAAAGUACUUUCAGUCGGGAGGAAGGUGGUAAGGUUAAUAACCUUAUCAAUUGACGUUACCGACAGAAGAAGCACCGGCUAACUCCGUGCCAGCAGCCGCGGUAAUACGGAGGGUGCAAGCGUUAAUCGGAAUUACUGGGCGUAAAGCGCACGCAGGCGGUUGAUUGAGUCGGAUGUGAAAUCCCCGGGCUUAACCCGGGAAUUGCAUCUGAUACUGGUCAGCUAGAGUCUUGUAGAGGGGGGUAGAAUUCCAUGUGUAGCGAUGAAAUGCGUAGAGAUGUGGAGGAAUACCGGUGGCGAAGGCGGCCCCCUGGACAAAGACUGACGCUCAGGUGCGAAAGCGUGGGGAGCAAACAGG